AGAGUUUGAUCCUGGCUCAGGACGAACGCUGGCGGUGUGCCUCACACAUGCAAGUCGAACGGGGUAGCAAUACCCAGUGGCGGACGGGUGAGUAACGCGUGGGAAUCUGCCUUUAGAUGGGGGAUAGCAAGCCGAAAGGCUUAUUAAUACCGCAUACGUAUACAUUUCGACAGUUUUGUAUAUAAAAGGAGCAAUCCGUC
rnacentral:rRNA from 1 species